UGGGGAAUUUUGGACAAUGGGCGAAAGCCUGAUCCAGCAAUGCCGCGUGUGUGAAGAAGGCCUUCGGGUUGUAAAGCACUUUUGUCCGGAAAGAAAUCCUUGGCUCUAAUACAGUCGGGGGAUGACGGUACCGGAAGAAUAAGCACCGGCUAACUACGUGCCAGCAGCCGCGGUAAUACGUAGGGUGCAAGCGUUAAUCGGAAUUACUGGGCGUAAAGCGUGCGCAGGCGGUUUGCUAAGACCGAUGUGAAAUCCCCGGGCUCAACCUGGGAACUGCAUUGGUGACUGGCAGGCUAGAGUAUGGCAGAGGGGGGUAGAAUUCCACGUGUAGCAGUGAAAUGCGUAGAGAUGUGGAGGAAUACCGAUGGCGAAGGCAGCCCCCUGGGCCAAUACUGACGCUCAUGCACGAAAGCGUGGGGAGCAAACAGGAUUAGAUACCCUGGUAGUCCACGCCCUAAACGAUGUCAACUAGUUGUUGGGGAUUCAUUUCCUAGUAACGUAGCUAACGCGUGAAGUUGACCGCCUGGGGAGUACGGUCGCAAGAUUAAAACUUAAAGGAAUUGACGGGGU
rnacentral:rRNA from 1 species